rnacentral:tRNA from 1 species
GAGGGUAUAGCUCAGUAGUAGAGUGUGUACUUAGCACACAAAAGAUCCUGGGUUCAAUCCCCAGUACGUCCA